UCUAUGAUGUCAAACAAUAACAAACUGCAUUACGAAUGUAGGUUAUGUUAUGUACUUUGUUAUAGUUUAAAAACUGUGGAAUAUUAUAAAUGGUUACUUGAUUCAUUUGUACUGGAUUAUUUUGUGGAUGACCACUGGGCCAAACUUCCAUCAACAUGGAGGGAGACACUGAAUAACGUUGAGCCUCAUGAGCUAUGUGGAUUGUUGGGUUCUGAACCAGCACAGUGUCACGGCGUGGUGUGGCCUCUCUCGCUGCUGGCGUUCCGGGCAGCUGGGCGCACUCUUGUGCUGCCUCGAGAGAGGACUGGUGCGUGGCUGCAGUGGCUUCGCUGUGACUGCGCGAGCUGCCAGGCUUGCUCCGAGUUGACCAAGAGACUGUGCCGGCGUGGCGUCGUGGACACCACGGGCCUGGGUCGGUGCGAGACGUCUCCUCGGCUCGUUCAAGAUGAUGGGUUGAACUUAAGUAACGACGUAAAUAAUCUCGGAGAUGAUGUGGAAGCUCGGUGCAUUGUCCAUAGUGAUGAAGACGAUUUGGCAAGUAAAGAAUCGGGCUUGAUGAGUUCAAGUACGUCAAGCUCAAAGAUCAUGCGUGUCUUUGAGAAACAUGUGAAGCCAAAGAAACGUCAUGAGAUUUUCAAGAUGGCACAGGUGGCAGCCCGCACUGCUGAGCUGCAGGGUUGCCACUACGUCAUAGACGUGGGGGCUGGCGUAGGCCACCUGGCUCGAAUGUUGGCCUACAGGUUCGGACUGAGAGUGUGCUGCCUGGAGGCACAGAAGAGCUUGUCAGCCCAGGCAAGGAAACUGGAUAAGGAGUUGGAGUUGACUCUGUCCAAGUAUCUCUCUGCGGAGGAUCUCUCCCGGCUCUCUCGGCCGGUGCACCUGAACACCACUCUGCACUCAGGCAUAGACCCACUGCAGUUUGUCAGUACGCUGUCAAAAGCAUUUGGUAACGUCUCUCCGUCGGAGCUCAGGUUUGGCAUAGUGGGCCUACACCCGUGUGGAGACCUGGGACCCAUGUUGCUGAGACUGUUUCAGAGUUGCGUUGGUGCCAGUUUCAUCAACAUUGUCGGCUGCUGCUACAUGAAGCUCAGCCAAGGCCCACAGGCCACUUUCCAAGGCUACCCUUUGAGUGACUUUGUCUCCCGAGAACAUCACGAUCUGAGUUAUGAGGCCUGUGAACUGUCCUGUCACGCUGUGGAGGCCUACUCUGAACGUCUUGCCUCCGGCAAGUACUCUGAUCUGAUGGUGCACUGCUUCAGAGCUGCACUGGAAAGGAUAAUCGUGAAACAUUGGCCACAUUUGCGGCACAGUGGCAUUAGGAGCAUUAAGCACAACAACCAGAUGACGUUUGCUCAGUACUGCAUAGCAGCCACAGAGAGACUGAACAUCAACAUUCCAGUAGAAGAUUUUAGCAGUGAAGAAACUUUGGAAAAUCUAAAUCAAUGGAAAAAAGUGGUAACUUUCUAUUCUUUGCGGCUUUUGCUCGCUCCAUUGGUAGAAAGUAUAAUCUUAUUGGAUCGUGUGCAGUGCCUUAGAGAAUCAGGUAUAAGUUGCAACUUGGUUCCUGUCUUCGAUCCACGCCUCUCUCCUAGAAACCAUGUGCUUAUUGCUACAAAGGAUCUAUACUCUUUAUGACUUGUUAGUGCUGUUUAUUUUAUAACUUUAUAAAUAAACUGUCAUUAGAAUUUGAUUUUUUUAUGUUAUGAUAAUUGAAAACUAUACUAUGGUUAAAGCCAAGAUUUUAUGGUGUUAUAAGAAAGGAAAUUUUGUCAUUAAAAAUAGUGGAUUUUGUCUUUAUCAUCAAGAAAAAUUAAAACACAUGUAACAAUAAGUACAUAUCAAGCACAAUUACGUUGAUCAAAAGCUUCUACAACUCAUGCGGUCCAACUACGCGUACUGCGCGCGGUGCGUUGCCAUGGCGAUGCCACUCGCACCCUCGUCGUCGCUCUCCUCCGUGCUGACCUUCUCGAAGCCCUGGUGCCGGUCCAGGAACUGAGAGAACUUGAAGCCCUCGACGGGCGGCACGGGGAACUCCCAGCGGUCACGAUGUUCGCUGUAGCCCCCGGAAGCACAGCCUGGACAAGCAGAACAGCACCUGUAACUCCAGGGUUGCUGGCCCUCAAGUACCCGCAAGCUGUCCAACACAUGCGCAUAUGCACACUCAGGCCAGUUUAUAUUCACUAAGCUCCUUUCAGUACCAACUACCAAAACCAACACAAAUCUUUUUUAUCUUUUUUUUUUCUCUACUGGUAUUGUGCUCUUUUUGACGUGACGUCUAAUAAAUCGAUGAAUGCCCGGCUGCACGCACGAAAAAGUGUCCCACUGUGGAUGUCCCACUACGGAUGUGUCCUUUAUGCUCAUUGUACGCAUGUGUGGCAUCUCUCUUCAUGCUCAUUGUACUCAUGCGUGGUAUCUCUCUUCCACUCGAUUAGAACAACCAUCGAUUUGACUUUUCAAUCAUAUUAUCGUCGUUUGAAUUAUUAAUAUUAUGUAGUUUAACGAUCGUCCACCG